AUUGAACGCUGGCGGCAGGCCUAACACAUGCAAGUCGAGCGGAUGAAGGGAGCUUGCUCCUGGAUUCAGCGGCGGACGGGUGAGUAAUGCCUAGGAAUCUGCCUGGUAGUGGGGGAUAACGUCCGGAAACGGGCGCUAAUACCGCAUACGUCCUGAGGGAGAAAGUGGGGGAUCUUCGGACCUCACGCUAUCAGAUGAGCCUAGGUCGGAUUAGCUAGUUGGUGGGGUAAAGGCCUACCAAGGCGACGAUCCGUAACUGGUCUGAGAGGAUGAUCAGUCACACUGGAACGGAGACACGGUCCAGACGCCUACGGGAGGGAGCAGUGGGGAAUAUUGGACAGUGGGCGAAAGCCUGAUCCAGCCAUGCCGCGUGUGUGAAGAAGGUCUUCGGAUUGUAAAGCACUUUAAGUUGGGAGGAAGGGCAGUAAGUUAAUACCUUGCUGUUUUGACGUUACCAACAGAAUAAGCACCGGCUAACUUCGUG
rnacentral:rRNA from 1 species